rnacentral:lncRNA from 8 species
GGGGCCCUGCACUCCACAUGCCAGGUAUUUUAUUCUCCCGUCUCUCCUCAUCCCAUGGUAGGGGCUAAAGAGAGGCACGGUUAGCACAUAGAUUCCACUGUGAAUGCUGAGUGUGAGAUGUUAGCCGUGAGAGGUAGCAGAUUACACCAGUGUGGUGCUGCGCUCUGCCAGGCAGACUGAGGGAGCAUCACACAGCUGCUUUGAUCAGGGGGAGGGCAUACGCUGUCAGACCCAUCACACCUGUCUACCCACGAUUAGAUAGACAGAGCUGGGGCGGGGGACUGACAACUUACCACAGAGGCACUUGAAGGCAUACAUACAUACAGUACAAACACACACACACACGGAGACCAUCCUCAGUAGUGGAGAUGGACAAACAUAACUCCACUCAAAAGAAAUGUACACAGACACACAGUUGUAAGAGAAUAUAUGCUAACUCCUGUUGACUUGUAGAGGUUUGUGUUGCAUCCCUCCCAGGGAGUGUGAUCAGAGCAGUAACAGUGUGGUGGAGCAGUUUGGGCGGGAGCUUCUGGUCUCUGUCCCUCCAGACUCUAUCAUCCUGACCCGGGGAGACCUCCCAGGGAACUCCCUGCACUACUGACAGGGGCUCUGGCCUGACGCAUGCCUCGUUAACCAGGAGGUUACUACUUUGCCACUUAAGAUGAUGACGUACAGCUGGUACGUGGCCAAGCUGGGCCAGCAUCACCCUGGGGUUCACUUCCCAGGGCGCUGGUGGGACCCGGUCCAUAUUGAGGAGAAAGACACCUUCAGUCUGGAGCAGUUCCUCUCUCACAACGCACAGGGGGGCUGUGCUGGCCUGCAUCGGGCUGCCUGACCGGGACCCCAGCUGGGAGAGAAGCUUUUCUCACUGGCUCCUGGGUGUGUGUGACCACCUGGUGCCUGCCCAGGAGCCCUUCCACCCGGAGGAGUGGACCCGCCACACCCUCUACAUCUGGACCGAGCCACACAACAGGUACACAGUAUACUACACAUACAACCCAGAGGGCCCUCUGGAGGGGUGGGGGUCCUCCUCAGCAGGAGAAGCCUACAGUUCAUGGGAAGU